rnacentral:rRNA from 1 species
UUCCAGCUCCAAUAGCGUAUAUUAAAGUUGUUGCAGUUAAAAAGCUCGUAGUUGAAUUUCGGGGUUAGUAGGCUGGUCAUGCCUCUGGUAUGUACUGGUCUCACUGAUUCCUCCUUCCUGAUGAACCGUAAUGCCAUUAAUUUGGUGUUGCGGGGAAUUUGGACUGUUACUUUGAAAAAAUUAGAGUGUUUAAAGCAAGCUAACGCUUGAAUACAUUAGCAUGGAAUAAUGAAAUAGGACGUUCGAUCCUAUUUUGUUGGUUUCUAGGAUUGACGUAAUGAUUAAUAGGGAUAGUUGGGGGCAUUAGUAUUCAAUUGUCAGAGGUGAAAUUCUUGGAUUUAUUGAAGACUAACUACUGCGAAAGCAUUUGCCAAGGAUGUUUUCAUUAAUCAAGAACGAAAGUUAGGGGAUCGAAGACGAUCAGAUACCGUCGUAGUCUUAACCAUAAACUAUGCCGACUAGGGAUCGG